CACCAAGAAGGUAUGUCUUUGUAUUUCCUCAUAAGUCUUGUGUGAAUAUCCUCCUUUCCCUUGUAUGAAGCGCGGAAUCUUUCAUAGAUUUCCCUACAAAUUGCAAGUAGACAAUAAAGACAAUCCUUUACCACGACUGUUGUAGUUAUUAACAAAUAAUUCUCAUCCAUAUUCAUAGUUCCAUUUAUUUAUGGAAGUUGCUGCUAAACAGCUGUAAAUAUGUAGCAGUUGAGAUGUCAAAAGUUUGGACAAGUUUAAAAUAGACUGACAAAUCAACUUUUGGGACGAUAAAACAUGUAUAUUUCAUUUAAAAAAUUACUUGUAUAUUUUAAUUUCCUUGUCUGGGCUCUAGGUUGUAAAACAUAAGGAGCAAAUUUGACAAAACAGUAGUACUGUGUCUUGAUAUAGUUAGAGUGUGUUUUACCUUCCGUAGAACAAUGCCACGUGUGUAAGAGUGGAUGCUAUAGUAGCAAAACCAAAACCGUAAGUGAGAGCAAAGAACAUGCUUAUAUGUAUCCGCCCUUGCUCCUCAUACUUCCCUAUAUCUAGCUCAAACUUGUCAUUCACGAUGGCUGAUAUAUCGUACUUCUGACCUUGUGCUGUGAAUAAGUGUGACGAGAAAAUGGGAAAUUUUUUAGCACCAUACAAGUCAAACCCCCAAUAUGCUAUUGGGAUCACCAUGUAUAUUAUCAACAUGUACCCUGCAAAGACAUUGACAAUGGCAAAGAAAGGGCAGAUGAGGGGACUGAACAAGAAGGAUGCCACAGCAGACCAAUCCAGGGUUAUAGCUCCAAGUCCAAGGCCCCUCAUGCCUGAUCCAAUUUGCUGAGCUGUCACUGAUUUGGAGAAUGCCCAGCAGAUCCAUGAGAUGCUCGUGAGCGUUGAGAAGAGAUAUCCUGGUACUAGAUACCAGCAAAAGCUGCAUACUAAUGCAAUGAGGAAAAAUUUUGCUCGUGACAUGCGCCGAUCAUCUUUCUCAUGCAAGGCCCUGCAAAGAUCAAUCUGUGUUAAUGAUUUUCUGCACCUUUGAUCCGUUUGAGAAAGAAAAGCAGUUCAGUUGUUUUAUAUGAGAGUGCACCUGGAGAAGCUUUUAAACCAUCAGAUAGCUUGAAAUGAACGAGAAAAUUUGAAAUAGUAACAGAAAACUUAUAAUGAAGAUUCAUAUAGCCGACCUUAACUUGCUUGUGAUUGAGGUGACGUUGUUGUUGUUGAAUAGAAACUUACAAAAUGAUUUUGGGAAAUUUAAAAUAAAAAUUGGAUUUGUGAUUCGUCUGGUCAGAAAUUCCUGCGAAGAGGGUGCAGGGAAGAGAGAUACUAGACAUUCUUUUCCAGCUAUUGUCACGAUAAGCAGUAGAUAGAAACUAAGUUACAUGCAUGUGCGAGUACGUUAUCACAAGAAAAAAAAAAAUUACAGCCAGGUGGGAGAUUCUUAUAGCUUUAACUGUAUAUAAGUAUGACUACAAUAAUCCAUCCUACAAAAAGAAAGGCUGUGUUCUUGUUUCUAAUUGCAUGAUAUUUAUCAAGAAGAUGAAUUUGUGAAACUUGCAGAUGUUUGACUUGUUUUUAUGAUUCAGGUAGGAUUUUAAAAUGGAUUAUUGAGGUCAUUGCUAAAUAUGUGCUAUACCAUUCAAGGGAAUCAAUGUGGUUAUUUCUCCCGGUACUUUGCUCCAAUCAUGCAAAAUAAUGGAGUUAGACUAGAGCUAAAUUGGACUGUCUUUUUCUGAUCCCAGAAUGACUUGAAUUUGGGAGCCUAUUUUAAUCUUCUAAUACAGCUUAGAGAUGUCAGCAGGUGAACCAUCUUGGUUAUCGAUUGGCGCUCAACAGUGAAGGUAAAGGGAUGGCUUCAGAUUUCGUCCGAAGUUCCUUUCCACUAUUGAAAUAUUAUCAUGCAAAAUUUUCAGUAUGCAUAGGUUUGUAAAUCUAACACAUUGUGAAAAAGUUUAAUUCUACUAACAGCAAACUGUGAGUACUAUGAAAAUAUUCAAUGUACAAAUGUAAAAUUCUCUCUUUAACAUGCGCCACCCCAUU
rnacentral:lncRNA from 1 species